rnacentral:rRNA from 1 species
UGGGGAAUUUUGGACAAUGGGCGCAAGCCUGAUCCAGCAAUGCCGCGUGCAGGAUGAAGGCCUUCGGGCUGUAAACUGCUUUCGUACGGAGCGAAAAGGUCUGCCCUAAUACGGUGGGCUCAUGACGGUACCGUAAGAAUAAGCACCGGCUAACUACGUGCCAGCAGCCGCGGCAAUACGUAGGGUGCGAGCGUUAAUCGGAAUUACUGGGCGUAAAGCGUGCGCAGGCGGUUAUAUAAGACAGAUGUGAAAUCCCCGGGCUCAACCUGGGACCUGCAUUUGUAACUGUAUAGCUAGAGUACGGUAGAGGGGGAUGGAAUACCGCAUGUAGCAGUGAAAUGCGUAGAUAUGCGGAGGAACACCGAUGGCGAAGGCAAUCCCCUGGACCUGUACUGACGCUCAUGCACGAAAGCGUGGGGAGCAAACA